AAUAGAUACCCAGGUAGUCCUAGCAGUAAACGGUGCGCGUUUGGUGUAGGCGGAAUCGACCCCGCCUGUGCCGCAGUUAACACAAUAAGUACCCCGCCUGGGGAGUACGAUCGCAAGAUUAAAACUCAAAGGAAUUGACGGGGGCCCGCACAAGCAGCGGAGCAUGUGGUUUAAUUCGAAGCAACGCGAAGAACCUUACCUAGACUUGACAUCUCCUGAAUUACUCGUAAUAGAGGAAGCCCUUCGGGGCAGGAAGACAGGUGGUGCAUGGUUGUCGUCAGCUCGUGUCGUGAGAUGUUGGGUUAAGUCCCGCAACGAGCGCAACCCUUAUUGUUAGUUGCUACCAUUAAGUUGAGCACUCUAGCAAGACUGCCCGGGUUAACCGGGAGGAAGGUGGGGAUGACGUCAAAUCAUCAUGCCCCUUAUGUCUAGGGCUACACACGUGCUACAAUGGUGAGUACAAAGAGAUGCAAUACCGCGAGGUGGAGCCAAACUCAAAAACUCAUCCCAGUUCGGAUUGUAGGCUGCAACUCGCCUA
rnacentral:rRNA from 1 species